GGCGGGAUGGUCCGAGCGGCCUAAGGCGGCUGCCUUGAAAACAGCAGAUGGACUACCAGUCCAUCCCCGGGUUCGAAUCCCGGUCCCGCCG
rnacentral:tRNA from 1 species